GGAAUCUUGCGCAAUGGGCGAAAGCCUGACGCAGCGACGCCGCGUGGAGGAUGACGGUUUUCGGAUUGUAAACUCCUGUUAAGUGGGAAGAAAUACUCGUCAGUAAUACGGACGAGGGAUGACGGUACCGCUAGAGAAAGCACCGGCUAACUUCGUGCCAGCAGCCGCGGUAAUACGAGGGGUGCAAGCGUUAUUCGGAAUCAUUGGGCGUAAAGGGUGCGUAGACGGUAAAGUAAGUUAGCUGUUAAAUUUUCCGGCCUAACCGGAAGCAUGCGGUUAAAACUGCUUUACUAGAGGAUAGAAGAGAGAAGUGGAAUUCUCGGAGUAGCGGUAAAAUGCGUAGAUAUCGAGAGGAACACCGAUGGCGAAGGCAGCUUCUUGGUCUAUUCCUGACGUUGAGGCACGAAAGCGUGGGGAGCAAAC
rnacentral:rRNA from 1 species